rnacentral:rRNA from 1 species
UYUAUUUGGAGAUAUAAAAGGUCUAGCCUGCCCGCUGAUUAAAUGGAUUUAAGGGCCGCGGUAUUAUGACCGUGCAAAGGUAGCAUAAUCAUUAGGUUUUUAAAUGGAAUCUUGUAUGAAUGGCUGAACAAAAGAAAAGCUGUCUUUAAAUUUAAAAUUGAAUUUAACUUUUAAGUGAAAAGGCUUAAAUUAUCUAGUAAGACGAUAAGACCCUAUAAAGCUUUACAUUGUAAUUAUAUUUUAUUAAAUUUUAGUAAUAAAAAUUUAAUUUAAUUAUAUGUUUCAUUGGGGAGAUGGAAGUAAAAUUUAUAUUAACUGCUUAAUUAAGAUACAAUUAUUAAUGGAUAAUAUGUAAUAGAUCCUAUAUAUAGAUUAAAAGAUUAAGUUACUUUAGGGAUAACAGUGUUAUUUUUUUUGAGAGCUCCUAUCGAAAAAAAAGUUUGCAACCUCGAUGUUGAAUUAAAAGGUCUUUAUAGUGUAGUUACUAUAAAAGAAGGUCUGUUCGACCUUU